AGCUCCAAUAGCGUAUAUUAAAGUUGUUGCAGUUAAAAAGCUCGUAGUUGAACUUUGGGCUUGGAGAAUCGGUCCAACUUUGUUGUGUACUGUCUUCUCCAGGUCUUUCCUUCUGGUUCUCAUUUGGGGUUUACUCCAUUUGUUGAUCCAGGAUUUUUACUUUGAAAAAAUUAGAGUGUUCAAAGCAGGCGUUUUGCUCGAAUAUAUUAGCAUGGAAUAAUAGAAUAGGACGAUUGGUUCUAUUUUGUUGAUUUCUAGGACCAUCGUAAUGAUUAAUAGGGACGGUCGGGGGCAUCAGUAUUCAGUUGUCAGAGGUGAAAUUCUUGGAUUUACUGAAGACUAACUACUGCGAAAGCAUUUGUCAAGGACGUUUUCA
rnacentral:rRNA from 1 species